AGCGAACGCUGGCGGCAGGCCUAACACAUGCAAGUCGAACGAAGUCUUCGGACUUAGUGGCGGACGGGUGAGUAACACGUGGGAACGUACCUUUUGGUUCGGAACAACUCAGGGAAACUUGAGCUAAUACCGGAUGAGCCCUUAGGGGGAAAGAUUUAUCGCCGAAAGAGCGGCCCGCGUUAGAUUAGCUAGGUGGUGAGGUAAAGGCUCACCAAGGCUACGAUCUAUAGCUGGUCUGAGAGGAUGAUCAGCCACACUGGGACUGAGACACGGCCCAGACUCAUACGGGAGGCAGCAGUGGGGAAUCUUGCGCAAUGGGCGAAAGCCUGACGCAGCCAUGCCGCGUGAAUGAUGAAGGUCUUAGGAUUGUAAAAUUCUUUUACCAGGGACGAUAAUGACGGUACCUGGAGAAAAAGCCCCGGCUAACUUCGUGCCAGCCGCCGCCGGUAAGAC
rnacentral:rRNA from 1 species